AACAGUUGUUAUAUUUUCCUUUUACAGGCCUGUAGAUGCAAAUGAAGCGAAAAGAGCUAUGGAGGAGGCUAAAAAAGCCCGUCAGGAGAAGCAAGCCGCUGAGCUGGCUGAGUACGAGGAAAUGAGGAAAUCAGAGAAGGUCAAAGAGGAAGAGGAGAUACGAUCUCUGAGGGAGAAAAGAAUCCAACGACAGAAGGAACGAGUGGAGGAAGAGAAACGGUUGACUGAGCUCAGAGCU
rnacentral:sRNA from 1 species